UCCAAGAUGUUGAGCUGACUUCAAAAGUCCCCAAUCCGACAGAGUAAUGUCACAACAAGCCUGAUCUUUGGAGGACGUUGGAGGCCCUGCAAUACAACCGAGAGAACCCAGAAGAUCUGCUAAUGUUCCAGUGCCAGACACCACAGGACACCUCCUGAGGUUCUUGACCAAAUGAAUUAAUUUUACUCUCCUGGGAUGAAUAGUCACACUUAUGUCAAACAAGUGGGAUGUUAAAGGUCCUGAGAUGUGUCAGCGUGUCAGCUGAGAACUGGACUGCUAUUUCUGAAACUCUGCAGCUGCGAAAGAAAAGUGGCAAGAAGGUUGAAGAUGACCGCCUGCAGCAGAACAGAAAAUCUGGCAGCACCUGUCUCUGCUGCUGAGCAAGGGGAUCUCGACCCGCAGACCACCAAGGCUGCUAGAUGUUAGCAGAGAUU